rnacentral:lncRNA from 1 species
CAUACAUGUGUGUGAGAGGUAAGUACAUAUUUGUAAGUUGGUGGAUGGCAUGCUCAUUUGACCAAUAUUGUACAUAUUUGUAAGUUGGUGGAUGGCAUGCCCAUUUGACCAAUACUGAUGGGAUGGGGUUGUGUAUAAUUUUGUCAUCUAAUAAUGUCCCAAACUCUUUUUGAUAAUCACCAAUGGCAACGUUACACUCCCUUUCACUAAUCUGAGCAGAGUUUAAAUCUUGAACUUCUUAUAUCACCCUUAAGAGAUGUUACCAAUACCUCCUGGAUCAUCCUUAAGAGAUAUUACUAAACAAACUAAUUAGCACCGAUAUAUGAAAGUAAUUUAUUAAAAGGGAGAUACAACAGAUGUGCACAAUAUUCACACAUAUGCAACUCACAUAAAAUUUAAGAUAAAUUAGAUAUGUAAUUAUGAUGGCAUCUAAUCGCGGUCUAAAUAAAAAAUGAUUAAUAAUUUAAUUUCUAUGAUUUAAGAAAAUGGUUAACCUCUUCUGUAAGCAACGUACUCUUGGUAAAUUUUCCCAAACGCAAGGACCAAGAGAUAGAAACCAAGGCAAGCAAUAUAAUUUUUCUUGUAAGGCCAUUUUCAAAGUUAUGACACAUUUUUUUUUUUUUAAAUGUAACUGUUUUCCCAUUUGGUAGACGAAACCGAAGAAGAACAAAAUUAAAAGCACCGAAGCAGAAAAAUAAUUCACUGACCUGGAAAAAUGGAAAUGCAAAACCUGGCUGGCUAGCUGAAACGCCCUUCAUUGUUGAAGAGUGUUUAAUCACUAACUGAAGAAACAAACAAUAGAGGUAGUUCUGAUUGAAAAAAUAAUAAUAAUGAAGUAAUUCAUAGAAUUAAGGAAGAAAGAAUAAAAGAAUAUGGGUGGUUUGUUUUUGCCGCUGUGUGUAGGUUGUAGUUCAAGCGUGAGAGCGUUAGAUUUGUGUCACAU